GAUGAACGCUGGCGGCGCGCCUAACACAUGCAAGUCAAGCGAUUCUCUUCGGAGAAGAGCGGCGGACGGGUGAGUAACGCGUGGGUAACCUGCCCUGUACACACGGAUAACAUACCGAAAGGUAUGCUAAUACGAGAUAAUAUGCUUUUAUCGCAUGGUAGAAGUAUCAAAGCUUUUGCGGUACAGGAUGGACCCGCGUCUGAUUAGCUAGUUGGUAAGGUAACGGCUUACCAAGGCGACGAUCAGUAGCCGACCUGAGAGGGUGAUCGGCCACAUUGGAACUGAGACACGGUCCAAACUCCUACGGGAGGCAGCAGUGGGGAAUAUUGCACAAUGGGCGAAAGCCUGAUGCAGCAACGCCGCGUGAGCGAUGAAGGCC
rnacentral:rRNA from 1 species